rnacentral:rRNA from 1 species
GAUGAACGCUGGCGGCGUGCCUAAUACAUGCAAGUCGAGCGAACGGACGAGAAGCUUGCUUCUCUGAUGUUAGCGGCGGACGGGUGAGUAACACGUGGAUAACCUCCCUAUAAGACUGGGAUAACUUCGGGAAACCGGAGCUAAUACCGGAUAAUCUUUUGAACCGCCUGGUUCACAAGUGAAAGACGGUCUUGCUGUCACUUAUAGAUGGAUCCGCGCUGCAUUAGCUAGUUGGUAAGGUAACGGCUUACCAAGGCAACGAUGCGUAGCCGACCUGAGAGGGUGAUCGGCCACACUGGAACUGAGACACGGUCCAGACUCCUACGGGAGGCAGCAGUAGGGAAUCUUCCGCAAUGGGCGAAAGCCUGACGGAGCAACGCCGCGUGAGUGAUGAAGGUCUUCGGAUCGUAAAACUCUGUUAUUAGGGAAGAACAUAUGUGUAAGUAACUGUGCACAUCUUGACGGUACCUAAUCAGAAAGCCACGGCUAACUACGUG